rnacentral:tRNA from 1 species
UCCCAUAUGUCUAGUGGUUAGGAUUUGGCGCUUUCACCGCCAAGGCCCGGGUUCAAUUCCAGGUGUGGGGA